AUCAAUAAGCGGAGGAAAAGAAACCAACAGGGAUUGCCUUAGUAACGGCGAGUGAAGCGGCAAUAGCUCAAAUUUGAAAGCUGGCCCUUUCAGGGUCCGCGUUGUAAUUUGUAGAGGAUGAUUCGGCGAGGGCUCCCGCCUAAGUCCCCUGGAACGGGGCGUCAUAGAGGGUGAGAAUCCCGUAUGCGGUGGGCUGCCUUAGCCAUGUGAAUCUCCUUCGACGAGUCGAGUUGUUUGGGAAUGCAGCUCUAAAUGGGAGGUAAAUUUCUUCUAAAGCUAAAUACCGGCCAGAGACCGAUAGCGCACAAGUAGAGUGAUCGAAAGAUGAAAAGCACUUUGGAAAGAGAGUUAAAAAGUACGUGAAAUUGUUGAAAGGGAAGCGCUUGCAACCAGACUUGUCCGCAGUUGCUCAGCCGGUCUCCUGACCGGCGUACUCUUCUGCGGCCAGGCCAGCAUCAGUUCGGGCGGUCGGAUAAAGACCUCGGGAAUGUAGCUCCUCUCGGGGAGUGUUAUAGCCCGGGGUGGAAUGCGGCCAGCCUGGACUGAGGAUCUCGCUUCGGCAAGGAUGCUGGCGUAAUGGUUGUAAGCGGCCCGUCUUGAAACACGGACCAAGGAGUCUAACAUCUAUGCGAGUGUUUGGGUGUCAAACCCAUACGCGUAAUGAAAGUGAACGGAGGUGGGAACCCGCAAGGGCGCACCAUCGGCCGAUCCUGAUGUCUUCGGAUGGAUUUGAGCAAGAGCAUAGCUGUUGGGACCCGAAAGAUGGUGAACUAUGCCUGAAUAGGGUGAAGCCAGAGGAAACUCUGGUGGAGGCUCGCAGCGGUUCUGACGUGCAAAUCGAUCGUCAAAUUUGGGUAUAGGGGCGAAAGACUAAUCGAACCAUCUAGUAGCUGGUUCCUGC
rnacentral:rRNA from 1 species